UCUUUUUUCUAUGAUUUUGUUUCGAAUUAUUAAAUUGGGACGCUAUUACACACUGCAAGCAUUUUACCGUACAUUAUUUUUAAACAUUUUCCCACUUCAUUAAGCAUAAAGAUGUUAUUUUAAAGGGCUUCAUAACGUUCCAUUCUAUGAAUAUUCUCAUUGGAGUUAAAGUGUUCCCUUUUUUUUUUAACAUCAUGAUGAAUAUCUUUGUCUGCAUUUGUAUUUUCUUAGGAUAGAAUUAUUGGAUUUUAAGGAAGUCUUUUUGAAAAUUCUUGAGAGCUGAUGGUUAUUUUUUGAAAUUACAAGGGAUUUGCUUUUCUUAGAAAGGGAGAGAUCUUACCACAACCAGGGAAUACUGGGUGCUGAAGUGACUUCCGGCAGAACUAAUGAGUCAAACAAACCACAAACAAAACAAACACACACACAAACAAAUGAAAUAAACACACUGUAUAUACACACUAGCUAUACUAUAUAUCAAUGAUAUAGUAUGUAUGUAUACGUGUGUGUAUGUGUAUACGUUUAUGUAUUUGUGUAUACUGAACAAGGAGAGGGAGGAAGAAAACUCUGCUUCUCUCCCACCCUACUCACCGUGGAUUGCUUUUGAUCUCUAAGAGGGAGGGAGGGAGGGAGGGAGGCGGGAAGACAGGGGAACAGCUUUAGGGCAAGCUUGGUGAUUCUUUGGGCACAAGGAACACUGCGUGGGAGACCUGAGGAGCAGAGCGGAGGAGAUGGCCUUUCUCCCCACUUCUGCAUGGGCCCUGGCUCCACGCUGGCCCUCGAGGACCGAGAGCUUGGGUGGCUCCAGCAGGCAGCACCCUGCCUACACAUGACUGCUUUCUUGGGUAGUACACGGUGAAAACUUUGAAGCUCCUUCGGGUGGAGUUUCUAGAAAGGAGGGCGCCUGAGCGGCAGGGAGCGCGUGGAACAGAUGCCCGCGGGUUAUGCUCCUGGCGGACGGGUUCGCCAGCGCUUGUGAGAUGCCCCUGGGGAGGUGGGGGUCUUGGAACCGAAAUCUGUUCGGGUGGCUGCAGGAAUUGGACUUCGUAUUUGAGCAUCCAGGGCUUUUUUUUUUUUUUGGCCAAUGAGAGGUGUGUUUAACUGCUGCUCCUGUGACUUUUAUCUGUGUCCACAACUUGGCCACGCUGAGGGUUGUUGGCUUUCAUAUAUGGAAUACUCCAUUCAUCAAGAUGAAGAAAAUAGAGUGGAAACCGAAAAAAGAGGGGAAAUGGUGAUUAAAGGGGAAAACAUGAAGCCGUGCAAAUCUCAAGUUUGCAGAAACUGGAGCUUGGAGUGAGAAGGAGGCUCAGACUUGCAGAACGUACAGGCUGGAAGGAACAGCAAGGUCCUCUUCCAUUUCAACGCCUUCAUUUUACAGAGGAGGCAUCCGAGGCCCUGAGGGAGUUGCCACUUCCUCCAAGUCACGCAGAGAGUCGGUGUGAGCCAGCGCGCAGGUCUGCUGACACUUCAACCGGAGCCCCGUCCUCUGCCUGCCGCUGCCUCUCUGGUCAAGGACCUGCAGCCUGUAGGUGCUAUUAACGAGGGGGCAGUGCUCACGAGUUGUUGGUCCGUUUGGGCUUCUCUGUCAGAGCACCAUAGAGCGGGGAGCUUUAUUUCUCACAGUUCCGGAGGAUGGAAGUCCAAGAUCAGGCACCAGCGUGGUUCCGGUGACGGCCCUUUUCCCGCUGGCAGACUGCCGACGUCUCCUCGUAUCCCCGCUGGCAGAGUGAGAGAUGGUGUACGCAAGCUCUCUCUCCAGUCUUCUUAUCAGGGCACUAAUCCCAUUCGUGAAGGUUCGUCUUCACGACCUUAUUUACUCCUGGUCACUCCCAGAGGCCUCCCCUCCAAAUACCGUCACACCGUGGGUAGGGUAUCAAGAUGUGAGUUUGCGGUGGGCGCAGAGGGUAGCAUCGCACACAGAAGGCACACAGGUGUUGGGACAGUGUUCUCCUGUCCUGGCUGCUUUAGAAUCUCCCGGGAGCUUUGUGCAGCCCCGAUGCCCGGGCUGCCCCUCAGAUUGAUGACAUGAGCGUCUCUGACGGUGAGACCCUGGCAUCAGUAUCCCCCGGGAUCCAGCUCCCCCGGGGAUGGCAGGCAGAGUCAGGGCCCCUGUGCGAGAGGGGUGGCACGUCGCCGUGUCACCACAGGGCCCGGGUCCUGGUGUUCACCUGGCAUCAGGAGCCGUACUGCCCGCACCCCUGGCCCGCUUGUUACCUGGUGACUACCGGAUGUGAAGUCAGGGUCUAGCCUGGCCGGUUUCUGAAGCUCCUCCCAGUUUGAGAACCUGAGAGUCUAAGUAAAAGGAAAUAGACAUCGUGCUCGAAUAGCCUUAAGGAAGCCCACCUUUUCGAUUCCUUGCGAUUCUUCUUGGCUCUUUAUUUCCUCCCACAGAGAUUCCCAUGAGCGCUUCACGAUUUCUUAAAGAAAAAGAAAUGAAAACGCAUCGGGUUGCCUUGAAAUCACUGGAGAGCUGCACAGGGCCCCGGUGUCUGGGGUGAUGACUGAGGAGGUUGCGGGGACUGACACAGGCUGUGUGCUCCAGCGCUCCGUUCCCCCGCUCCCACCCCUCGGGGCCCCUUCACACUCCCCACAACCUCCCAGGACCUAGCGGUGGAAACACCAGCGUAAUGCUUAUGAAGUCACGCCCCACGAGGUUUGGUCUUGGAGCAGCGUUACGGCUGAAAGAACACAGUCCAUGCAAUCAGAAGUUAUUUCGAAAUAAAUCAAGUCCUCUACUUAACUUCGCAGAUGCCCGGGGUGAACAGCAAGAGGGCCCCCAAGGCUGCCCGACUCCCCUUUCUUCCCUGAAUAUGCCCCCCGCCCCCACGCAGGCCGCCAGGCUUUCCAAACUCUCCCCCAAGCCCCCCCCCCCCCCGGCCUCUGCCUCCCACACUCCUUUUCUCCUGCUUGUUUUCACCCAGAUCUCCAUCUGGAAGCCCCAGAGUCUCCCCUCUCAUCUCCUGGAGGCAGGGCUGACCUCAGAGGGCGGAAGGAGGCGAACACUGAAGCUUAGAACGCUGGAUGCAGAAUGAGAGCAAAGGGGAGAGAAAGGCGGGGACCCCCCGGGCUGGCGGCGGGGACCGAGGCUGCUGGCGCUGAACAGGCUGUUGCUGGGAGUCGGAUGAGUGAAAAUUUCAUCAAGGAUGAGCCUGGUGCCAGAAUCUGAUUUGGAGAACCUGUGCCUGAAUCUAGCCUCAAAAACAAAAGAGCUCUUCUUCCGAAUCGCUCUUCUGAAGGAAACAAGGGAAGGUGGCAGACGGACUUGGUAAUACCUCCCUCACUGGAAUGUCAUGACGAGCAGAUGGUGCAGACCUUAGAAAGGGCCGGGCACACACAGGAUGUGAAUAAAUGAGUGGACUGGAAUGUGCAAAGAAGCCUGGCUUGCAGGAAUCUCCCACGGGCCUCCCCGAGAUCCUUUGUGAAAAUGUAAGUUAUACUUAUUCUCACUUGGAGUGAGAGCGUUGUAUAUUGUCUGGAAACAAUUAGAGGUAUUUUUCCAUUUUGAUCUGACAACCUCAGACACAUAGGCAAUUGUGGGGGUGGGGUGGGGGUGGUUAGAAGUUCUACUGUUAACUAUUUAAACAGUUAAAGUAUUAAAACUGAUUAAGUCGAAUAUGCUUGGAGCCCCAAAGGGUGGGGGCUGAUGGAACAGGGAGGCUCAGAAAGGUUUAAAAGUCACCAGGAAGAAAAAUCUUGGAGCUCUGGAAAAUAUUUUGUCACUGCUAAUGAUUUUCCAAGACCCUCCAGGAAAAUAGUGUGACAAUACAAGGCCAUUGGGGGGAAGGCUUGAGCUGACAUCAGAGGCUGCCUGGGGACCUGGGAGACUGCAGGUGAGCCCGGCAUCACCUGGUUUAAGGUGUGACACCAGUACUAUGACCCUGGACCAGACUGCAAAGAAAGAGCUGCAGAGCGAUAGGUCUUUUUGUAAAGGUGUGCCAGUCUCCUGGAGACUGCAUUUGGAUUGUUAAAAAGAGAAUUUAUGGUGGUUUACCUGUUGCUUUGUUUUGAAAGAAGGCUGGAGUGGAAAGAGGUCAGGGAGGGGUCAGGGCAGCCCGAAAAAUUGCUUGGGGGACGUGGCCAAUGUGGACAAGGGAUCGGUAGAACCCAGGGCUACCUCAGCAGGCCAGGUUUGUGAAAACCCUUUUCAACUUUAUUUCAAAACUGAAGUUAGAGGCAAAUGUUCCCACCUCUCGGCUGUUUGUCAAUGAAGUCCAAAUUGCCAAGUGCCAUGGAGGACGACUGUGUCAACAGAACAAGGCUUUGCAUCUGCCAAAUGGUAGUCAGCAAAGGGACCUCUCACGUUUGUGUUUUCACAGCUCUGGUCUAGUGGAUCCUUGCGGCAAACCUGGAGGGAAGCGGGAAGGUGUCGCCAUUUCAAAGGUGGAAACGUGGGGGCUCGGAGAGGUGGGGUGCAGAGCUGGUGAGCGGUGGAGUGAGGAUGCACGGCUGGUCCUCCCACUGCACUCAGUCCCUGUGCCCACACCGCGUGUGGCUGCCAGGCUGCCUCGGUGGAGAGCCUGGGCUGUGCAGUGAGCUCGUGGGGGCAGGGCGAGGUGGGGCCCGUAGGACACAGCUGUCCCUUCCUUUCCCUGCCUGCCUUUCUUCUUUCCCUGCUUCCUCUGCAUGUGUCUGCAGCCUCCCGAUUAUAAAGGAGCAAGAAGGACAAGCGAUCAGCCUUGGAGCAGAAGCAGAAUACAAAAGCUACAGUGUGAGAUGCCCGGGGUCCUAAAGUUCA